UCGCCUUUAGUGUAUUUUUCUUAGUUUUUGUCAAGGACGUUUCUGCAAAGGAGGUUGAAACAAUUUUGCUGAGAAGCCGGAAAUCUAGACAUAUUAUGGCAGAAUUGUUGCUGAUGGACUAUUUGGCCUCCAGACACACCGAUAAAUUAGGAUACGGCCUUAAUAUAUCACACUACGGUAGAUAGCAAAAUCAAGGUUUACUG